rnacentral:rRNA from 1 species
CGUAGGGACCAAGCGUUGUUCGGAUUUACUGGGCGUAAAGGGCGCGUAGGCGGCCCCGCAAGUCACUGGUGAAAUCUCCGGGCUUAACUCGGAACGGCCAAGUGAAACUGCGAGGCUAGAGUGCAGAAGGGGCAAUCGGAAUUCUUGGUGUAGCGGUGAAAUGCGUAGAUAUCAAGAGGAACACCUGAGGUGAAGACGGGUUGCUGGGCUGACACUGACGCUGAGGCGCGAAAGCCAGGGGAGCAAACGGGAUUAGAUACCCCGGUAGUCCUGGCCCUAAACGAUGAAUACUUGGUGUCUGGAGUUAUUAGUGCUCCGGGUGCCGUCGCUAACGUUUUUAGUAUUCCGCCUGGGGAGUACGCUCGCAAGAGUG